rnacentral:rRNA from 1 species
AUGCAAGUCGAACGCUGAAGCUUGGUGCUUGCACUGGGUGGAUGAGUGGCGAACGGGUGAGUAAUACGUGAGUAACCUGCCCUUGACUCUGGGAUAAGCCUGGGAAACUGGGUCUAAUACUGGAUACGACAUGUCACCGCAUGGUGGUGUGUGGAAAGGGUUUUACUGGUUUUGGAUGGGCUCACGGCCUAUCAGCUUGUUGGUGGGGUAAUGGCUCACCAAGGCGACGACGGGUAGCCGGCCUGAGAGGGUGACCGGCCACACUGGGACUGAGACACGGCCCAGACUCCUACGGGAGGCAGCAGUGGGGAAUAUUGCACAAUGGGCGGAAGCCUGAUGCAGCGACGCCGCGUGAGGGAUGACGGCCUUCGGGUUGUAAACCUCUUUCAGCACGGAAGAAGCGAAAGUGACGGUACGUGCAGAAGAAGCGCCGGCUAACUACGUGCCAGCAGCCGCGGUAAUACGUAGGGCGCAAGCGUUGUCCGGAAUUAUUGGGCGUAAAGAGCUCGUAGGCGGUUUGUCGCGUCUGCUGUGAAAGCCCGGGGCUUAACCCCGGGUGUGCAGUGGGUACGGGCAGACUUGAGUGCAGUAGGGGAGACUGGAAUUCCUGGUGUAGCGGUGAAAUGCGCAGAUAUCAGGAGGAACACCGAUGGCGAAGGCAGGUCUCUGGGCUGUUACUGACGCUGAGGAGCGAAAGCAUGGGGAGCGAACAGGAUUAGAUACCCUGGUAGUCCAUGCCGUAAACGUUGGGCACUAUGUGUGGGGAACAUUCCACGUUUUCCGCGCCGUAGCUAACGCAUUAAGUGCCCCGCCUGGGGAGUACGGCCGCAAGGCUAAAACUCAAAGGGAGUUGACGGGGGCCCGCACAAGCGGCGGAGCAUGCGGAUUAAUUCGAUGCUACGCGAGACCUUACCAGGCUUGACAUACACCGGACCGGGCCAGAGAUGGUCGUUCCCCCUUGUGGGCUGGUGUACAGUGGUG